rnacentral:hammerhead_ribozyme from 1 species
AUACUGCUGAGGAGUCCCAUAUGGGACGAAACGGCCUUCCAGUGC